CCGAUCGUGAGCGGCAUUCUGUCUCACAGCCACUCCUGGGCCCACCUGCCCGUCGGAGGGGAAAAUCCUGCCCCAAACCUAGACUUCAACGCAGUGCUGUGCUAAGCAAGUGCUUCACUGCCUUUUUAGAUGAAACCUUAAACUGAAGUCUCAACUGUGAGGUCAGGAGGGUGCAAAAAAAAAACCGUCCCAUGCCACUCUCCUGACAUCAGCGAGGAGGUUACUCCAAGGACCUGACCACUAUUCAUCCGUGAACCGACAUCAAAGAUGGAACUGUUCUUUUGCCAGUAAGAAUUGAUUCCUGAACUAUGGUACUUUUCUCUCACUCUGAUAAGCUUGUGAAUUCCAUUGACAUACAACAGGGAAGGAUCAGGGACAACAUUCACUUUCUACCCAGCAAUGCAGGCUUCAAAAUGGGAAUUAUUGGAGUAACUAAAUAAAGAAGACAACACUUACUGGUUCUUCUCAAGGUGGAUGAAUCGUGUCUUACCCUCUACAGUGACUUCAAACUGGACAACAGGUGGAUAAAGACCCUGGCACCAAAUAGAGGGGAAAUUAAACUCAUGUCAGAACCAACUUGGAAUUUGUUCAGAUCAUUUCUCCCAUUAAAAUUUGUUGUUUUUUUUAA